rnacentral:lncRNA from 1 species
AAAUGUUGGGAAGCUAUGAAUAAUAUUUUGAGGUUACAAUUGGGAAACAUUAGAGCUUCUUUUCAAAAGAGUUUUUACGAAGUUGAGCACGCGCACAUAAGUCCAUUUUAUGGUUAUUUGCGUGGUUCCGUAUCUCGAGCUGCUUUGAGACGUAUUGCUGAAGAGUUAUUGAGAGUUGAUUAUGUUGGAACUAACAGGAAAAUAUGUGGUUGUACUCUUAG